rnacentral:lncRNA from 1 species
GACAUUUACAAGAACUGGCGGCGGCAGCAGCAGCAGCAGCAGCAGCAGCAGCAGCAGCAGCAGCAGCAGCAACUGGAUUUGCUUUUUCACCAGAGGAUCCAGAUUUCCCUGUGGCCUCGCAAACAAAAAAGAAGGAAGACGGAGCAGCACAGUCAUUCCUUUGUGAAAAAGGCAUUCAGGUAACUGAGUGACUCAGCAAGCCUGGGUCUUGGGGAAAUUACGAAUACCUGGUUGAAGGACAGUCCUCAGGCAGAGCCCCUGAGACCUGUUGAACUCUAGAGUGUGGGAGCAGAGGAGAUUCAGGGCCUGCCCAGGGGCAGAGUGCCCCCAGGACUCGCCCUGGCUCAGUUAAGGACUCCCCUCAGGAUCUGCAGAGGUGCAAGGCAGGGUGCAGCUCUGCCUGGACUGAGCUGGAAAUGCAGCCGUGUGGCUGAAGUGGCCACUUCCUGCUUUCUGUAAAGCAGCCACAGGGACCUGUGAACAGAGACGGGGUUUCACCGUGUUAGCCAGGAUGGUCUCGAUCUCCUGACCUCGCGAUCCGCCCGCCUCGGCCUCCCAAAGUGCUGGGAUUACAGGCGUGAGCCACCGCGCCCGGCUUCAGCUGGUUUUUCAAAAGUCAUGGCGUGUAACUGUCCGAACAGUGAACUUCGGAGAUCCACCGGAGGGGCGAGGCCACAGCUCGACCGCGAGCACCUGAGCAUCCUGCACCGCCUGCGACGGCCGUCAGGGGGCGCGAUGCCGCCUCACAGAACCUCAAGAGGCGCCCGGGUUCCGGCACAGACGGCCUGCGGCUCCAGGGGGCGGAACCGAGCCGUCUCCUCAGGACCUACGCAGGAGGCGCCGUCAUCCCUACAGGGACACCUGAGAGGGCCCAGCCUCCUCCUCCUCAGGACCUACUCGGGAGACGCCGCUGGCUCUCUAGGAACACCUGGGGACCGUGGCCAGGGACGACCCAGCCUCCUUCUCCUCAGCUCCUCAGGAACGACUGGGGAAGCUGUGGCUUCAUGGUCCCCGAGGCUGCCCGAGGAAAGACAGAGUCUCAACCAGGCUGGAGUGCAGUGGCGUGAUCUCGGCUCACUGCAACCUCCGCCUCCCAGGUUCAAGCGAUUCUCCUGCCUCAGCCUCCUGAGUAGCUGGUAUUACAGGUAUUUCAGGACAGCCAGGAGGGGGCGCACAUCCGCCGCGAAACUGUGAGCAAGAGCGUCUGUGCUGAACCAUGGCGCCACCAGAGGGCGCGCGAUCCCGCCCCAACCAACUUCCCGCUGAAGUGCCAGAAGCAGCGAGGAGCUUCAACUUCCUCAGGGCAGCACGGGGGUCGUGUUAAUUUGGUGUUCUUCAUUGAUGAUGAUUAUUCCCCACCUUCUAAGAGACAAAGACCAACGAGCCACCACAGCCACCAGUCCCAGAACCUGCCAAUGCUGGGGAACGGAAAAUGAGGGAGUUCAACUCUGAGAAAUGGAAUCAUCGUAUCGCUGAUCUACGUAAACAAACUGAAGAAUUGUCUGAAAGAAAAUAUGACAUGAACUUAUGAAUUCAACAGGUGAAGAUUUACAACUUGAUAAAUCAACUUUGUCAGCUCGAGCUGUAAAAGCCAAAGGUCCGGUGAUGAUCCCAUACCCUUUUUUCCAGUCUCAUGUUGAAGAUUUUUAUGUAGAAGGCCUUCCCAAAGGAAUUUUUUUUUUUUUUUUUUUUUUUUGAGAUGGAGUUUUCACUCUUAUCGCCCAGGCUGGGGUGCAAUGGCGCAACCUUGCUGGUCACUGCAACCUCUGCCUCCUGGGUUCAAGAAAUUCUCCUGCCUUAGCCUCCCAAGUCACUGGGAUUACAGGUGCCCACCACCAUACCAGGCUAAUUUUUGUAUUUUUAGUGGAGAUGCGGUUUCACCAUGUUGGCCGGGCCAGUCUCG